AGAACGAACGCUGGCGGCAGGCCUCAAACAUGCAAGUCUAGGGGGUGUAGCAAUACAUCACCGGCGGACGGGUGCGUAACGCGUGGGAAUAUACCUAUUGGUUCGGAACAACUGAGGGAAACUUCAGCUAAUACCGAAUGUGCCCUAACGGGGAAAGAUUUAUCGCCAAUGGAUUAGCCCGCGUUCGAUUAGCUAGUUGGUGGGGUAACGGCUCACCAAGGCUACGAUCGAUAGCUGUUCUGAGAGGAAGAUCAGCCACACUGGGACUGAGACACGGCCCAGACUCCUACGGGAGGCAGCAGUUGGGAAUCUUGGACAAUGGGGGAAACCCUGAUCCAGCCAUGCCGCGUGAGUGAUGAAGGCCUUCGGGUUGUAAAACUCUUUCGCGCACGACGAUAAUGACGGUAGUGCGAGAAGAAGCUCCGGCUAACUUCGCGCCAGUACGCCGC
rnacentral:rRNA from 1 species